rnacentral:rRNA from 1 species
AUCCUGGCUCAGAUUGAACGCUGGCGGCAGGCCUAACACAUGCAAGUCGAGCGGAUGAAGGGAGCUUGCUCCUGGAUUCAGCGGCGGACGGGUGAGUAAUGCCUAGGAAUCUGCCUGGUAGUGGGGGAUAACGUCCGGAAACGGGCGCUAAUACCGCAUACGUCCUGAGGGAGAAAGUGGGGGAUCUUCGGACCUCACGCUAUCAGAUGAGCCUAGGUCGGAUUAGCUAGUUGGUGGGGUAAAGGCCUACCAAGGCGACGAUCCGUAACUGGUCUGAGAGGAUGAUCAGUCACACUGGAACUGAGACACGGUCCAGACUCCUACGGGAGGCAGCAGUAGGGAAUCUUCCGCAAUGGGCGAAAGCCUGACGGAGCAACGCCGCGUGAGUGAUGAAGGUCUUCGGAUCGUAAAACUCUGUUAUUAGGGAAGAACAUAUGUGUAAGUAACUGUGCACAUCUUGACGGUACCUAAUCAGAAAGCCACGGCUAACUACGUGCCAGCAGCCGCGGUAAUACGUAGGUGGCAAGCGUUAUCCGGAAUUAUUGGGCGUAAAGCGCGCGUAGGCGGUUUUUUAAGUCUGAUGUGAAAGCCCACGGCUCAACCGUGGAGGGUCAUUGGAAACUGGAAAACUUGAGUGCAGAAGAGGAAAGUGGAAUUCCAUGUGUAGCGGUGAAAUGCGCAGAGAUAUGGAGGAACACCAGUGGCGAAGGCGACUUUCUGGUCUGUAACUGACGCUGAUGUGCGAAAGCGUGGGGAUCAAACAGGAUUAGAUACCCUGGUAGUCCACGCCGUAAACGAUGAGUGCUAAGUGUUAGGGGGUUUCCGCCCCUUAGUGCUGCAGCUAACGCAUUAAGCACUCCGCCUGGGGAGUACGACCGCAAGGUUGAAACUCAAAGGAAUUGACGGC